GGUGGAUUUCCCGAGUGGCCAAAGGGGGCAGACUGUAAAUCUGCUGGUUGUACCUUCGGAGGUUCGAAUCCUCCAUCCACCA
rnacentral:tRNA from 1 species